GGAAAACUCAAAAGUAAUCUUGUAAUUUAUUAAUUUUCAUGUAGCAAUCCUCUUCAACAAAUAGCUCUCAAUUUUCUCUACAAGUAAAUAUUACUCUCAUCCGGACGGAUGAACAAACAUGGAGGCCUUAUACACCAUAUCCUGAUCAAUCCCAGAUACAUUGCAUCCAUAUUUCCCUAAGGACUAGGCUAACCCUGAUCCUACAAUAAAUUGAAUCUCACUGAACAAAUGAUCUUUCCAGUACAAAGCACAAGUAUGCAAGCUGUUAGGAAAAAAGAAAAGCAACACUCUCACAAUAAAGAGCUUUGGCUGCCCUCAAAUUCUCUUCUUAUAAUUUCAAGCACAAAUUCAUUCCACGUAUCAACCGGACCAGGCAUGCACCAGUGCAAGCAAUCCUGUGGCGGAGGCCUUCCAUCUGGUCCACGUUUUGUUAUUUUAUUUGGGUCAGGACUUCGGUAUGGACCUGGAUGCCCAUCAUGGCGAUAACCAAAGGGUUCAGUGAUAUCCAUCAACCUCAACUUUGAUUUAUUCGUUGCCUUCUUAAUUGCACGAUCAAAAGCUCUUACCUGUUUCUUGUGCAUUAUAUCCGUAAAGCCAUUUUCCACCAACUCACCUGGAGCAAGAGGUUUCACUUUUCCAGUGCAUGAUCCCCCAGUAUUCCAUGCCCCACCUUCAUAAUGAUCAGGUGAAUAGGAACGCAAAAUGGUCAGCCCAGUGUAAUUUGGAUGGGUAACCAUAGACGUGAGAAUUGUCUCCGUAGAUAUUCCAAAUGCUUCAAUAUUGUUAACCUUCAUUGAACGAGACUUGUCUGGCCACCACAACUGUCCUCCCACAAUUUCAUUGCUCAAGACAUAGACAGAUUGCUUGGCAAACCAAUGGCCAGAAGAAAGAACAAUCACAUCGAAACUUGGGAUGAAUUCCAUGAAAUCCUCAUCUGGAGCAUCAAGGUGGAGUUUGACAACACCUUCUGGAGCAAAGUCAAAAGGUUCUGAUGUUUUGUGAACAAGCCAAGAGGACCAUAUUCGCACAAUCAUAGUAGAUGUUGACCUGAAGAAAUAUCGUUGCAUUCUUCUGUUCCCACGGUUUUUGGGAACUUCUACCUGCCAGAGAAGGCACAACAUUGAUUCCAUCUGGUUUCGAGCAACAGAGUCGCCAAUGAAAGCUAGAGUCUUCCCUCUCAUCAAUUCCAAAAACUUCUUGGCAUCAAAUCGUGGAAGUUCACACUGAGAAGGUUUCCAACGCCAAUUCUCAUACUCCUUGUCAGGUCUCCCAUUCCCCUGGCAGUUCUGCAUCUGUGUCAGGACAGGGCAUGUGUUGUUUGUAUAUGAUGGUCCCUGAGAAUCAAAGAACCAAAUUCCAUGGUACAGAUCACAACCAGAAUCUUCUGAACUGAUCGGGGUUGUGUUGCUGGGCACAUCAGAUAAAACUGGCUUAGCCUCUGAUUCGGAAUCUGGAGCAGAAGUAGUUGUGCUACUUUCAUCUGAUCCUUUAUCUGCACUACCUGAAUUAUCAGACACAACAUUUCGUUUAGCACUGGAAGCAACUGAACUGCCCUUCUCCUUCACCCCAACUUCUUGUCGGGCAUUGGCAGAGGGAAUUUGUAGAUCAGACUCCGAUGGCAAAGAAUUCUUAUCUAUGUCAUUUACACUAUCAUUAACACCACUAGAACUAAUGGGUACUUCUAAACUAGGUCCAGAUGAGGAAUUUCUAUUAAUCACAUCUACAUUACGAUCAAGACUACUGUCUGUGUUGCUUUCGUUAGAAGGAAAGACGGGCAAAGCCAAUUUAUUAGAAUUAUCAACACCAUAAAAAUACCCAUGGACGGUGGAACCAAUGGGGUAAGAAAUCAGAAGCAAAGAACCAAGAACUAAGAAAAUGGCAAGGCCACCAACUGUGACUGCCAUAGAAGAAAGCGACCGCGGUAACGCGACCAAUCCAGGAACGCCCUUUGGUGAAUCCAAAAUCAUGGCUUUCCAAAUUAGGUAGGCUACUAGGCUCUAUAAGGAAAUGUGAGACGUGUAUUUAGACCAACAGCUGCAAAGAUCGACUCGCCACAGCUUUAAUCCUCAAUUCAAUGAUCAAAAACAAUAAAUCGCCUUCAGUAACCUAAGAAAGCAAAACAAGACGGCAUUUAAUGAACAAUAACAGAACUCAAUAUAACAUUUAACAAUAAAAAAAAAUCACAAUACAUCGUUAAAAAAAAAAGGCAAAAGAAUUGAACGACAGAUAAAAAAAAAGAAAUUCUAUAAUUACAUUUACACGUAAACAAAGCAAAUUCUUCAAAUCCGCUUCAAAAUAAAUUCUUCAAUUAUCUAAAACCAAGUCGAAAUCACUAUAUAAGUAACAAUUAUAACCUUCUUCAGAUCCUCAUAAGUCAAAAGAAAACAACUUUCACUCAAAAAAUAAACGUGCAGGUGAGAAAAAUGCCGCAAUGAAGCUCGAUAAUUUUUCAAUUUGGGGUCGAUGGAUUUGACAUCACGAGGAGAAAAGAAAAAUGAAGCAGAGAAUUGAAAUCUGAAAAUAACCUAUACCUAAUAAAUUUCCGGAUUGGGAGGAAGCUACAACGGAGACGUUUUGGAGAAAGAGGAAGGGGAAGGAUCUUGGAUCGGGAGAAGGAGAUAUUUCAAUUAUUGAAUGACAUAGAAAUCUGAGAAGAAUAAUGCGGAGAACGCGUGAAUUCUAGCGACCUUCAAUCUUGUUCUGCUUCUUUUAAGUCUCUUCUUGUCUUCAAUUUUCCAGUUAAGAGAGAGAAAAGGCAUGAUUUGGUUUUCUCUCUUUUGGGAUUUUCUGCUUUUUUUUUUGGUGGUGCUAGCUAUGAACUGCACCGCCGCCCUGCUUGUCUCCAUCGACAAAGGUCCAUUAUUUGGCCUUUUU
rnacentral:misc_RNA from 1 species